GGGAUUGCAGUGGCAAAGCUAGGCUAGGUCUUGGAGGCUGGUGUAAGGCGAUGUGGGUGAAGGCAGGAGGCUGAUGGAAAGACUGGGGGGAAGAAAAGCCGAAAUGGAUUCACGGUGCCUUGGAUGAAGGACGAGAGGGGAACUGCAAGCUCCUUCAACUGGUUCUGUCCGGUGAGAAGUGAUCAAGCUUGGGCUGACAAGAGGCUCAGGGAGCCCUCACGUUCUUUCGCUUUUUUACCUGCCAAUCAAACUGCUACAAGACAACACCCUGAUCUGGCAUGGACAUCGCGGGUCCAAGCCUGUAGCCCCAAAUCGGAUAAUCUCUGCAGCUGAUAACAAGCAAAAGAGAAGCCAGGCAACAGCCAUAUUAAAGAAGAAAACAAUCAACUCUGAGGAUGGCUGCCAGGGAAUAGAUGAAAGGCAGAAGUGGCGAUGGGUGACUGAUGUGGCACACUUAUGAAGAAAAGCCUCUUUUUCCAUGCUUGUUUUUCCUCCCCAAGGAGCCAACAGAGUUUCUAUUCUCCAACUCUGCUCUUCACCUUACCCAAGUCAUUGCAGUCACCUGGAGUCACGGAAAUGACCAUGAUUGCCUGAACUUUCAUGACUUCUGUGGAUAACUGUGGUUGCAGAAAAGAGAAAACCUGGACCGUGAGGGACAUUUCACUCCCUGGGCUUUGGUACAUGAGUCUUGCUGUGAUGCCCAGGCUGCUGGAGUGCAAUGGUGUGAUCUCUGCUCACUGCAACCUUUGAUUCCUGGGUUCAAGAGAUUCUCCUGCCUCAGCCUCCGAGUAGCUGGGACUACAGGCAUGUGUCACCACACCCGGCUAAUUUUUGUAUUUUUAGCAGAGACAGGGUUUCACCAUAUUGGCCAGACUGGUCCUGAACUCCUGACCUCAAGUGAUCUGCCUGCCUCGGGCUCCCAAAGUGCUGGGAUCACAGGCGUGAGCCACCGCACCUGGCUUCUUACUCCUUUUAACAACUUGAUGAGUCUCAAUACCUUCACAGAGGUGAAGAAGCAGCAACCAAAUGAAUUAGACAGCAACAUGAUUCCUAGAGAAUGGCAAGACCAAUUCUUCAACUACUUCUUCAGCAUUUCUGAAACAUAUGGAAGAUGGCCCAUUGUGCUCUCUUAAUUCUUUGAUAAUCUGGACAUUGACUUUUCCAUUAUAUGACCUGGGCUUGUGGGCAUCAUGUCAUAAUGCACCUGUUCAGACAUCUCCCUGUACCAAUAUGGAUCACUUGAAGAGACUCCUUUGCCCCCAUCAAAAAGGAUACAGUUGUGUAUCUCUUCCAUUUUUGUUUACAGUGCCUAAAAUUAUUUGAGCAGUUUUUCACCUCUUCUCUGAUAAACACCUUAUUAGUCCUUAAAAAGAAAAGAAAAAAGGAAAAUAAAACUUUUAUUGAGAUCCUAA
rnacentral:lncRNA from 1 species